CAGAAUUUUGUUAAGAGAAAGAACUAGAAGCAUGGAAGAGGAAGAAGAACUCAUGUUCAACAUUGGCAUUUUCGCAACCCUUGGUACAGCCCCACUAAAUCAGCUUCUGUUUUGAAGGAGAAAAACGAGUUUGAAGUUGGGACAUGCAUGCUGAUUGUGUGUUAAAGAGUGGAUACGGGUUUGAUGAAGAUGGAGUGAAACUUUGACUAUGGUGAGGGUUCAAUGGCUGCAUGAUCAUCCUCUCAACCUCCUUUUUAGCAAGGUGCAGUUUAGUAGCUUUUGAUAGAUAGCAGGUUCGGAUUGAUGGCUUGAAGUGGUGUUGGCUCGAAGACCUCGUUGGUUUUGACUUUCCGCUGUGCAAGAUCCAUUGAAGACACAUGUUUUGUAAUUCUUAUUGGAAUUUCAUGUUGUAUUUUAUAUGGAUCUUUUUAUAACUAUGGCUUUUGUAUGUACUCAAUAUCGAUUUUAACGUUUCAUGCAUAAUAUAGUAGUCAAUUAUGUAUGGGAUGUUACAAAACAUAUAUUUAAAUGAUAAU